rnacentral:misc_RNA from 1 species
GUGCCACUCCCGGCACAAGGAUCCAAUAAUCCAUAGAUGGGCUGAAAAGAUUUCUUCUGAUAUUAACAGGUCAAUAAAACAUUGUGUGAAGAAGAUGGUAGAUGAGCUUGGUACACUUCAGCCUUGAUUCUGGCAGGCUAUAUAAUCCACAGAUAGAGUUGGCAAUUCUGUACACUGCUUUUCAGUAAUUUAACUCCUGGAAAGGAAUACCUCAAGUUGGAACUUGGAAAGAUAAUCCGCAUUAAUUAUUGCAAUUUCUCAGGGCUGUUGAUGAACACAUCUCAUCAUCAUCUUUCAGUUCU